GAUGAACGCUGGCGGCGUGCCUAAUACAUGCAAGUCGAGCGAACGGACGAGAAGCUUGCUUCUCUGAUGUUAGCGGCGGACGGGUGAGUAACACGUGGAUAACCUACCUAUAAGACUGGGAUAAAUUCGGGAAACCGGAGCUAAUACCGGAUAAUAUUUUGAACCGCAUGGUUCAAAAGUGAAAGACGGUCUUGCUGUCACUUAUAGAUGGAUCCGCGCUGCAUUAGCUAGUUGGUAAGGUAACGGCUUACCAAGGCAACGAUGCAUAGCCGACCUGAGAGGGUGAUCGGCCACACUGGAACUGAGACACGGUCCAGACUCCUACGGGAGGCAGCAGUAGGGAAUCUUCCGCAAUGGGCGAAAGCCUGACGGAGCAACGCCGCGUGAGUGAUGAAGGUCUUCGGAUCGUAAAACUCUGUUAUUGGGGAAGAACAUAUGUGUAAGUAACUGUGCACAGCUUGACGGUACCUAAUCAGAAAGCCACGGCUAACUACGUG
rnacentral:rRNA from 1 species